GACGAACGCUGGCGGCGUGCUUAACACAUGCAAGUCGAGCGGUAAGGCCCUUUCGGGGGUACGACGAGCGGCGAACGGGUGAGUAACACGUGGGUGACCUGCCCUCAGCUCUGGGAUAAGCCUGGGAAACCGGGUCUAAUACCGGAUAUGACUCCAUGACGCAUGUUGUGGGUGGAAAGCCUUGUGCGGCUGAGGAUGGGCCCGCGGCCUAUCAGCUUGUUGGUGGGGGAUGGCCUACCAAGGCGACGACGGGUAGCCGGCCUGAGAGGGCGACCGGCCACACUGGGACUGAGACACGGCCCAGACUCCUACGGGAGGCAGCAGUGGGGAAUCUUGCGCAAUGGGCGAAAGCCUGACGCAGCGACGCCGCGUGAGGGAUGACGGCCUGG
rnacentral:rRNA from 1 species